rnacentral:misc_RNA from 1 species
AAAAAACAAAACUGUGUGAACAUAGAGGAAAGAGAUUUGGGAGAAAUGGGGUUCUGCUUAUCUUGCUUCGACUGCUCCGACGGUGGCAGCGAGCGACGGAAACAGGAAGAAUUGGCCUCCGCCGAAGCGCGUACCAAAGCCGCCGAAGCUGCCCAGAAACGGCAAGAGGAAUUUGAAAAAUCUGCUGCAGGUAGAGCUGCACGUGCACAGCUACAGGGGAUGGCAAAACAAUCUGCAAAUUCUAAUAAAGGCGAACCAGUUCUAAAGGUUUCUUUUGUUCUGUUUUAUUAUUCUUCUUUAUUGCGCCCCAACCACCCACACACACCCCCCCCCG